CAAGACUUUACUGAUAUGCAAGUUAUGGCCUUGCCUAUGCUUCUCUCCAGCUGGAUCUGCUAAUGGUCCAGAUAAAAAUCCUGCUACUCCCUCUGUGAUAUGAGAGGAGUCCCAAAGCAUAAUCUCCAGUGCAGUCUCAUGGACAUUGCUUUUGACAUCAUCAUCAAGAUCCUGGACUGUUUCUAAGAGUUUUUGCCACAGUGGUGCACAGAAGUGGGAUGGAAACAAAGUACAGAGUCAAUGCCCACCAAAUCUUGGUGGUUGAGGAACUGCUGAACACCUUGAUGUGAGUAACUUGUCUGAGUCACAGGCAGGACACUGGUGCUGGGGAACUCAAGCCUGACAGCA
rnacentral:lncRNA from 1 species